rnacentral:rRNA from 1 species
CAUGAAGGCGGAAUCGCUAGUAAUCGCGGAUCAGCAUGCCGCGGUGAAUACGUUCCCAGGCCUUGUACACACCGCCCGUCACACCAUGGGAGUUGGAUUGACCCGAAGGCAGUGGGCUAACCCGCAAGGGAGGCAGCUGACCACGGUCGGUUCAGUGACUGGGGUGAAGUCGUAACAAGGUAGCCGUAGGGGAACCUGCGGCUGGAUCACCUCCUUUCUAAGGA